ACAGAUUGGAGUUUCUGGAACAAAGGCGCUGUUAUAGAGGCAGCUCGCACCCUGAGCAACAGCAGAGUGGCCCCGCCAAGCUCUUUCCCCAGGAACCACGGUCAGCAUCUCAGCAUCCAGCCACCAUAGCUUGGAGCCCUGUCCGUGAGCAUUUGCACUUUCACUCUGUUUUGUGCAUCCGUUAACAAGAUGUGGCCUGAGGUCAUUGCUUCUUUGCUUUACACCAUUUCAGUUCAUAGGAAGCCUCUGCUUGCAUAUAGCCAGGGAGACCUGUAAUUUUGCUGUCUAUAAUCUAAACAAACCAAAUAUAAUUCUUGUUCUUUAGGAGUUUGUCAUAUAUAUCUUUACAGAGAGAUUAUUAAAUCAGUCAAUUAAUCAGUACCUAAGCAUCAGGUAUAUGAGAUCCUGAUCUUUCAUUUUUUUUAAGAUGGUUGUCCCUCAAGGGGAUGGUUGUUUUCAAGGUUUGAAUAAUCUUUGAGCUCUCCACUGAACAGGAGAGACCAUUAUAGAGUCCAGAGAAGUUCUUGGAGCCACUUCUGUCUGUGUGAUACCUUUAUUGUGCCAUCCUAGCUCUGUACUUCUGCUUUGCUGUCUGUGCAAUGGCUGUGGAAACAUUCUCCUGUUUUUCUAAAAUAAUAAUUUAAUGAAGGAAAUUGGUGUUAUAAAUUUAUAUGCAUAGGAAGCAAACUGCAUUCUUAAUGCCAUUAUAAUGCAUGUGGUAGUGCUUUUUUUUUUCUGGUUCUCCAGUAGGACUAUUAAUAUUUUUACGAGUCAUGAAUGCUUAAAUACACUUAUCUAUUGGCUUAGUUUUGGUACUUGUGUUUAAUCUUUGCCUUAGCAUCUAUCACCACUGGCCCUCUGAAGGUUAAAUAAUUUGUCCAUAAUUAUAAAGCAACUGGACAUCACUGGAAGGCCGUUGAAUUGUUGAAUUACAUUUUCUCUAUUAGCUUCAAAUGACUUGCAAAGACAACUUAAUACAUACAUUAUGUGAUAAAAUGGCUAAAAAAAUACGUAAGUAUUUGACUUAGUAAGUCACUUAAAUACAAGAAAGAAAUGUUAUAAAUAUAUAAAAAUGGACUCUGUAUCUCAGAGCUAUUGUGUUAACUGUGUGAAGUAAUGCACUUUAUGAAACUAUUUAAAUUGCAUAAAAUUUUUAUGACUUACAGGUAAAUUUGUCAGCAUCUAAUUGAGUAAGAGAUUCUUGAAAGCUUUCACUGCAAUUGUUAAUUCAGCAUCAUUGUUCUCUCAGGCUGUUACGUGACCCAACAGGCUGGGAGAACAAUAUUGCUGAAUAUAAUUGGCAUAUGUCAGCAAAAUAUAAUUAGUAACAAGCUUCUUUCUGAAAUGCUCUUUUUGUUGGUUUAAAAAAGUUGAUUUCCUCUUGAAUUAAAUUACAGCUUGGACCUCUCUCUCGUUUGAUUUUGAUAGAUCUUUAAAAAAGCACAAAUAAAUUUUGAUU
rnacentral:lncRNA from 1 species